rnacentral:rRNA from 1 species
GACGAACGCUGGCGGCGUGCUUAACACAUGCAAGUCGAACGGUAAGGCCUUUCGGGGUACACGAGUGGCGAACGGGUGAGUAACACGUGGGUGAUCUGCCCUGCACUUCGGGAUAAGCUUGGGAAACUGGGUCUAAUACCGGAUAGGACCACGGUCUGCAUGGAUUGUGGUGGAAAGCUUUUGCGGUGUGGGAUGGGCCCGCGGCCUAUCAGCUUGUUGGUGGGGUGAUGGCCUACCAAGGCGACGACGGGUAGCCGGCCUGAGAGGGUGUCCGGCCACACUGGGACUGAGAUACGGCCCAGACUCCUACGGGAGGCAGCAGUGGGGAAUAUUGCACAAUGGGCGCAAGCCUGAUGCAGCGACGCCGCG